AGAGUUUGAUCCUGGCUCAGAUUGAACGCUGGCGGCAUGCCUUACACAUGCAAGUCGAACGGUAACAGGUCUUCGGAUGCUGACGAGUGGCGAACGGGUGAGUAAUACAUCGGAACGUGCCCGAGAGUGGGGGAUAACGGAGCGAAAGCUUUGCUAAUACCGCAUACGAUCUACGGAUGAAAGCAGAGGACCGCAAGGCCUUGCGCUCAUGGAGCGGCCGAUGGCAGAUUAGGUAGUUGGUGGGAUAAAAGCUUACCAAGCCGACGAUCUGUAGCUGGUCUGAGAGGACGACCAGCCACACUGGGACUGAGACACGGCCCAGACUCCUACGGGAGGCAGCAGUGGGGAAUUUUGGACAAUGGGCGCAAGCCUGAUCCAGCCAUGCCGCGUGCAGGAUGAAGGCCUUCGGG
rnacentral:rRNA from 1 species